rnacentral:lncRNA from 1 species
GGGUAAAAGGGAGCAUUGGGACAUUCUUAUUUCCAGCGGGUAAAGUUAGGCAUUGGAAAAUGACUAUUUCCUAUGGGUAAAAAGAAGUGCUUGAAAAAUAUCUCAUUUGCUCACCCACAUUGGAGAACUCUAAGUAAUGGGCUUGGACUUUGGUGCUCCCAAGUAGCUAGCCCAAAGUCUCCAUUAUCCAAGAGCUUCCGUGGG